UAGCCCAAACCAAGAGGCUUGCCUCUUGGGGUUGUAGGACAUUCUAUACGGAGUUACAAAGGAACGAGGUAGACGAAGCGACCUGGAAAGGUCCGUCGUAGAGGGUAACAACCCCGUAGUCGAAACUUCGUUCUCUCUUGAAUGUAUCCUGAGUACGGCGGAACACGUGAAAUUCCGUCGGAAUCUGGGAGGACCAUCUCCCAAGGCUAAAUACUCCCUAGUGAUCGAUAGUGAACCAGUACCGUGAGGGAAAGGUGAAAAGCACCCCGGAAGGGGAGUGAAAGAGAUCCUGAAACCGUGUGCCUACAAAUAGUCAGAGCCCGUUAACGGGUGAUGGCGUGCCUUUUGUAGAAUGAACCGGCGAGUUACGAUCCCGUGCGAGGUUAAGCUGAAGAGGCGGAGCCGCAGCGAAAGCGAGUCUGAAUAGGGCGUUUAGUACGUGGUCGUAGACCCGAAACCAGGUGAUCUACCCAUGUCCAGGGUGAAGUUCAGGUAACACUGAAUGGAGGCCCGAACCCACGCACGUUGAAAAGUGCGGGGAUGAGGUGUGGGUAGCGGAGAAAUUCCAAUCGAACCUGGAGAUAGCUGGUUCUCCCCGAAAUAGCUUUAGGGCUAGCCUUAAGUGUAAGAGUCUUGGAGGUAGAGCACUGAUUGGACUAGGGGUCCUCAUCGGAU
rnacentral:rRNA from 1 species